CAGCUAUUCUCAUCGUUCAGUCUGACGAUGGCGAGUGCUGUUGGAGGGACGCCAUUGAUAAGAAUCAGAGUAAUACCAGAUAUUGCCCCUCCAAUUUGGCGCCCGUCUGCUCUUCUUUCUAAGCAUAAUCAUCAUCAUAUCCACAAGCAUCGACUUCUACUUUGUUCUUCUGCUCCAAGGAGGUGGAGGAAUUUCUCCGUCUCUUCCAAGGCAGAUGCUGCUGCCCAAGGACAAGUUCGAGUCCGUUUUGCCCCUUCACCCACUGGCAAUCUCCAUGUUGGUGGUGCCAGAACUGCUCUUUUCAAUUACCUUUUUGCUAGGUCCAAUGGAGGCAAAUUUGUGUUGAGGAUUGAAGAUACUGACUUGGAGAGAUCAUCUAAGCAAUCAGAGGAGGCAGUGCUCCGGGAUCUUUCUUGGCUUGGCCUCGACUGGGAUGAAGGGCCUGAUGUUGGUGGAGACUACGGUCCAUAUCGACAAUCUGAAAGGAAUUCUUUGUAUAAGCAAUAUGCUGAGAAACUCUUGGAAUCUGGUCAUGUUUAUCGCUGCUUUUGUUCUAAUGAGGAACUAGAGAAAAUGAAGGAAAUUGCAAAACUAAAGCAGUUGCCUCCAGUGUACACUGGGAAGUGGGCUACUGCAACAGAUGAAGAAGUACAGGAAGAGCUUGCAAAGGGAACUCCUUACACAUAUCGGUUUCGUGUGCCAAAGGAGGGGAGUUUGAAAAUUAAUGACCUUAUUCGGGGUGAAGUUAGCUGGAACUUGGACACACUUGGAGAUUUUGUAAUUAUGAGGAGCAAUGGACAACCUGUGUAUAACUUUUGUGUUACAGUUGAUGAUGCUACCAUGGCCAUGUCGCAUGUGAUAAGAGCUGAAGAGCAUUUGCCCAAUACACUCAGGCAAGCAUUGAUAUAUAAGGCUCUUGGAUUCCCCAUGCCUUCCUUUGCACAUGUUUCUUUAAUUCUUGCUCCGGAUCGGAGUAAAUUGUCAAAACGGCAUGGUGCAACUUCAGUGGGUCAGGUAGUUUUAAGUUCUGAUGCUUAUCUCUGUCCUAUGCCGUCUCUGGGUUACGAUAUUUUAGCAUUCUAGUUCUUUUUGCGUAUAAGAAUUUCUUUUCAAUAGCAAUAACCACUGUUUAACAGUUCAAGGAGAUGGGGUAUCUUCCCCAAGCAAUGGUGAAUUACCUGGCACUUUUAGGUUGGGGCGAUGGAACAGAAAAUGAGUUUUUCACCCUUGAGCAACUUGUUGAAAAAUUCUCAAUCAGCCGCGUUAACAAAAGUGGUGCCAUUUUUGACUCUACAAAAUUGAGGUGGAUGAAUGGUCAGCAUUUAAGAGCACUUUCAUCGGAGAAAUUGAUCAACCUUAUUGGUGAACAUUGGAAGAACACUGGUAUCCUUGUGGAGUCAGAAGGAUCAUUUAUAGAAGAAGCAGUUCAGCUACUAAAAGAUGGGAUUGACUUGGUGACUGAUUCGGACAAAGCACUGUCAAAUUUGCUAUCUUAUCCCUUACAUGCUACUUUAGUGAGUCCAGAAGGUAAGACAGUUGUAGAAGAUAAGCUUUUUGAAGUUUCAUCCAGGCUCUUAGCUGCAUAUGACAGUGGUGAACUCCUAAGUGCCCUAGAAGAAGGCCCAUCUGGUUGGCAGAGGUGGGUGAAGAACUUCGGCAAAUCUCUUAAGCGCAAGGGGAAAUCACUUUUCAUGCCACUUAGGUUAUUGCUAACCGGAAAGCUCCAUGGCCCCGAUAUAGGUUCUAGUGUGAUCCUGUUGCAUAAGGCUGGAACUUGCGGUGUUGUUUCUCCAGAAGCUGGAUUUGUCACAUUGAAUGAGAGGUUUGAAAUAUUGAGGCAAGUUGACUGGGAAGCACUUAAGGAUCAAUCUCCAUUGGAGUCUGCUGCUACUGUAUCAAAUUGAGAAUAACUUUUUUUUUAAAAGAUUUUUUGAGGAUACCCCAGUUUUUAUCUUCUAAUUUUUGACUUUUUUUUUUUAAUGUGUUGUUUUGAAAGCACUUGUUUUUAAUACAAUGAGAUGAAUUUUAGUGUUUUGAUUAGGAAAAACACCUUAUUUUUCAGUAAUGAUGAUGAUUGCAACCCAAUAAGAUUUAAAUAAAAAAUAAUGUACACGUAAUUU
rnacentral:misc_RNA from 1 species